rnacentral:rRNA from 1 species
UGGGGGAUAUUGCACAAUGGGGGAAACCCUGAUGCAGCGAUGCCGCGUGAGUGAAGACGGCCUUCGGGUUGUAAAGCUCUGUCGCAGGGGACGAAAAUGACGGUACCCUGCAAGAAAGCUCCGGCUAACUACGUGCCAGCAGCCGCGGUAAUACGUAGGGAGCAAGCGUUGUCCGGAAUUACUGGGUGUAAAGGGAGCGUAGGCGGGAGGAUAAGUUGAAUGUGAAAUCCAUGGGCUCAACCCAUGGCUGCGUUCAAAACUGUUCUUCUUGAGUGAAGUAGAGGCAGGCGGAAUUCCUAGUGU